rnacentral:rRNA from 1 species
AUUGAACGCUGGCGGCAGGCCUAACACAUGCAAGUCGAGCGGAUGAAGGGAGCUUGCUCCUGGAUUCAGCGGCGGACGGGUGAGUAAUGCCUAGGAAUCUGCCUGGUAGUGGGGGAUAACGUCCGGAAACGGGCGCUAAUACCGCAUACGUCCUGAGGGAGAAAGUGGGGGUUCUUCGGACCUCACGCUAUCAGAUGAGCCUAGGUCGGAUUAGCUAGUUGGUGGGGUAAAGGCCUACCAAGGCGACGAUCCGUAACUGGUCUGAGAGGAUGAUCAGUCACACUGGAACUGAGACACGGUCCAGACUCCUACGGGAGGCAGCAGUGGGGAAUAUUGGACAAUGGGCGAAAGCCUGAUCCAGCCAUGCCGCGUGUGUGAAGAAGGUCUUCGGAUUGUAAAGCACUUUAAGUUGGGAGGAAGGGCAGUAAGUUAAUACCUUGCUGUCUUGACGUUACCAACAGAAUAAGCACCGGCUAACUUCGUG